AGCGAACGCUGGCGGCAGGCCUAACACAUGCAAGUCGAACGGACCCUUCGGGGUUAGUGGCGGACGGGUGAGUAACACGUGGGAACGUGCCUUUAGGUUCGGAAUAGCUCCUGGAAACGGGUGGUAAUGCCGAAUGUGCCCUUAGGGGGAAAGAUUUAUCGCCUUUAGAGCGGCCCGCGUCUGAUUAGCUAGUUGGUGAGGUAAUGGCUCACCAAGGCUACGAUCAGUAGCUGGUCUGAGAGGAUGGCCAGCCACAUUGGGGCUGAGACACGGCCCAAACUCCUACGGGAGGCAGCAGUGGGGAAUCUUGCGCAAUGGGCGAAAGCCUGACGCAGCCAUGCCGCGUGAGUGAUGAAGGCCCUAGGGUUGUAAAGCUCUUUUAACGGGGAAGAUAAUGACGGUACCCGUAGAAUAAGCCCCGGCUAACUUCGUGCCAGCCGCCGCAGUAAUAC
rnacentral:rRNA from 1 species